rnacentral:lncRNA from 1 species
GCAGGUGCAAAAAGUGCUUAGGGGACCUCAGAGGAAAAGAACAGAGGAAACACCAGCUAACAAACAAAUGAAAAAACAUUUUCUAAAAGACAAUGUGUUACUUUGUAAAGCAGGGCAGUGCCACUUGAGGGGCAUUGCCCCUUGAAGAAAUGGCGGGAACUCCUAGUUGGCAGUAGAACUUCUUAAACCUGGUACUGUGCAGUAAUUAGCACAAGAACAUCAGAGAGCAGCAGAAUGAAG